rnacentral:rRNA from 1 species
CGAACGCUGGCGGCGUGCUUAACACAUGCAAGUCGAACGGAAAGGCCCUGCUUUUGUGGGGUGCUCGAGUGGCGAACGGGUGAGUAACACGUGAGUAACCUGCCCUUGACUUUGGGAUAACUUCAGGAAACUGGGGCUAAUACCGGAUAGGAGCUGCUGCUGCAUGGUGGGGGUUGGAAAGUUUCGGCGGUUGGGGAUGGACUCGCGGCUUAUCAGCUUGUUGGUGGGGUAGUGGCUUACCAAGGCUUUGACGGGUAGCCGGCCUGAGAGGGUGACCGGCCACAUUGGGACUGAGAUACGGCCCAGACUCCUACGGGAGGCAGCAGUGGGGAAUAUUGCACAAUGGGCGGAAGCCUGAUGCAGCAACGCCGCGUGCGGGAUGACGGCCUUCGGGUUGUAAACCGCUUUCGCCUGUGACGAAGCGUGAGUGACGGUAAUGGGUAAAGAAGCACCGGCUAACUACGUG